AUGGCGGCCCCAGUCCAGCAGCCUCCUCAACUCGGGGGCGGGAAGCGCAAAGGCAAGGCUCAGUACGUGCAGGCCAAGCGGGCUCGGCGCUGUGAUGCGGGUGGGCCGCGGCAGCUGGAACCCGGGGUGCAGGGGAUCCUCAUCACCUGCAAUAUGAACGAACGCAAAUGCGUGGAGGAGGCCUACAGCCUGCUCAACGAAUACGGCGAUGACUUGUACGGGCCCGAAAAGUUUACAGACAAGGAUCAGCAGCUUUCUGGAAGUGAGGGAGAAGAUGAUGUGGAGGCUGCCUUGAAGAAGGAAGUUGGUGACAUUAAGGCUUCUACAGAGAAAAGACUAAGAAGAUUCCAGUCAGUAGAGAGUGGAGCAAAUAAUGUAGUCUUCAUCAGGACACUUAGGAUAGAACCAGAGAAAUUAGUGCAUCAUAUUCUCCAGGAUGUGUAUAAAACUAAGAAAAAGAAGACUCGAGUUAUUUUACGAAUGUUACCCAUCUCAGGCACAUGCAAAGCUUUCUUAGAAGAUAUGAAAAAAUACGCAGAAACACUUUUGGAACCCUGGUUUAAAGCCCCAAACAAAGGGACAUUUCAGAUUGUCUACAAAUCUCGAAAUAACAGCCACAUGAAUAGAGAAGAAGUUAUCAAAGAAUUGGCAGGAAUUGUGGGCAGUCUGAAUUCAGAAAAUAAAGUGGAUCUCACCAAUCCACAAUACACGGUGGUAGUUGAAAUCAUCAAAGCUGUCUGUUGCCUGAGUGUUGUGAAAGAUUACGUAUUGUUCAGAAAAUAUAAUCUUCAGGAGGUGGUGAAGACUACUAAAGACCCAUCACAGCUUCCCUCAAAGCUGGGAAAUGAGAAAGAAGCAAAAUUGGAAACUGAUGACAAAUUAAAUCAGAAUGACCCAAAAGAAGGGGAAAGUAACCAGCAGGUGGUGCCACAGAAUAAUGAGGAGGAGCUGGGGGAGACAAAACCAAGCUCUGAGACCCAAGUGGAGUGUGAGGGAGGCGAUAAACCUGAACCACACCGUCAAAUCCAGGAAGGAUCCAAGUCAAAUGAAAAUGACCUCUCAUAGGAGUCAUUCUGUGUCAGACACAUCAAGAGUUUGGAAACAUUGCUGAAUAAAGGCACUAUUAACAGCAGCUUGAGUGGUGACUACAAGUGCCAGGAUCCCCUCUGAACACAGCUCAGAUACUACAAUGACAAAGUGAGAUUUGGGGGAUCUCUUUCCAGGUAAAUAAAUGGGUUAUAAAUGUGAGGAGUACAGUGAUUCUUUCAUGGCUGAGCUCUUCACAUGUCACACAUUUAACAGUGAUUCUGUUUAUUCAGGCAGUCUGAUUGGCAGAUGACUAUAUACACCAUCCAGCCUAUACUGUGUGAGGAAGCAUGUGGUAGCAGGAGAGAUGGAAGUUCAGGAGAGUGUGGUUGGAAGGGGGUUUGGGAAGGCCUAAUGGAGGAAGAAUGGUGCAUUAGGAAGGACUGAUCUAUCUCAAAGGGUCUUUUCUUGCUUCUCAGUUUUUCCUUUUCUUUGUAGUACUGGUUAAAGCAAUUAGAUAAUUACUGAGGUUAGUAAGCAUAGUUUAAAUGAUUGAUUAUUCAUACAUUGAUUCCAAUUGGUGUUUACUUCUGGUGUUCUAUUGAAAUCAGCUAUAUGGAGAGAAUGAAAAUGUGGCAGAAGGAGAAUAUUUUGGAGAGUGGAGUUACAUGGAAAAUCAAGGGGGUACAGGAGGUAAGCGUAUGAGAUCCAGUGUCCCUACAGAGAGUAUGUGAGAAAGGCACAGAAGGAGAUGUGGGAGGGGAUUGAUAUACACAAUAUUGAGAUUUUUCUGCUUGCUGAGUCUAUAGGGAACUUCCAUGAAGAAAAUGGAUCUCUCUUAGUGUAGUUUCCUCCUAGAAUCCAGGCUGUUGAUAUUGCCUGAGUAACACUGUCAUUAGAUCCUAAUUAGGAAGCUUGUGGGACUUAUCUGGGAACCUGGCCACAAUCUUUUGUUUGCAUUGUUUCUGUGAGGAAAUGUAUCCUGUCCAUCCAUGACAGUUGUACAGACAGUGAAAUCUGAUGCUUAAUGCAGUAUCUGUUCCUACUUUCUGGUAACAGUACUCUGAGUUUCCUGUGCAGUGUUACCCUAACUUCUCUGUGGUGGGGUUGACACCAAGCCUUACCUUUGAGGACAGAAAUAUGAUCCAGGUCUGGCCAGUCACCUGUACUAUUCCCUGGGCCACUUUGGCUAGAGAUGUGACCUAACAUAGGUGGAGGAGACCCUGGGAGUGCCGCAGAACCCUUGGAAAGUCAGCUGUUUCCUUCCCUUGUGUGAGUGUGGAGUUGGUUGCUAUCUAGUAGGAAGAACUUGCUCAGAUGGAGUCGACAGAAUAGCAGAGCCAAACAUGGAGAGAGACUAAGGGAUGCUAACUCCACAUGAACACUUGGAUAUAGAUACCUGAAUACCUCUCAGUUAUAUGAGCCCAACAUUUUAUUUUAUUUUAUUUUUUAUAACAAGUCAAUUUGAAAUGAGUUUUUGUCACUUACCACCAAAAGAAUCCCAGUCCUCUCUGGGGCACAAUGCAUUUGUAAAGUUGAUUUUCUGGUCUGCAUUUUUGCCAUGUGUGACUCACAAUGAAAUGAAAUGACUACUGUACUCUUGAUUUAGUCUUUACAGUGGUCAAAUAGAACUUGAAAAUAGGAAUUUGCUGCUUUGCUUAGCAGUGUUCAACUUACCUCUCCUCGGAUUGGAUCUGGACUACUGACAACAGCUGAUUCAACAACUGCUGGGUGCUCAAUGAGUGCGCUCUCCACUUCAAAGGGCCCAAUACGGUACCUGCAGAGGAGGAGCAGACUGCUCACUACACUCUUCUUGUAGGGGUCUCCCUCCCUGCCAAGGCCCUGCUUUCUAGGAGUGGCACAUAUACAAACCCGGAGGAUAUAAUGACAUCAUCAGCUCUGCCGACAAACCAGAAAUACCCAUCACUGUCCAUUAGGCCUCUGUCCCCAGUGACAUAAAAGUUUCCUCUUAUCACAGCAGCAGUUUUCUCUGGAUUGUCCUAGGAAUUGAGGGUGAUAUUUGGAAAUUAGUUUGGACAGAGCAGAGAUGGGGUCUGGUAUCCAGUAAGUGACUGGAACAUUGCAACAUCUUACUUCUAAAUGAAGUUUUUGUUUUUGUUUUAGACAGGAUCUCACUGUGUAGUUCAGGCUGGCCUUUAACUCACUAUGUAGCCCAGGCUGGCCUCCAACUUGUGGCCAUCCUCCUGCCUCAGCCUCCCAAGUGCUGGGAUCACAGUUAUGCACCACCGCACUUUGCUGAAGUUAACUUUAAGUUAAGCUAGUUCCUAGCCUAAAAUACAAACAGGUAUAGGAGAGUAUUAUAAAACUAAACCUCUCUUCUACUUCCAAUAUCCUCCAUGCCUUUCCUCCUUCUCCUACCCUGUCCUUUCUGAGAACAGCACCACAAUCAGUUUCUUACUUGAGGUGUUUAUCUUCACAAUAUGCUUGGAAGGUAGAUAUUAUUCUCCUCAUUUCACAGUUGAUGAAAUGACCCAGGUUUCUGUCACUUGCCCUGGUUUAUACAUAGCAAGUCACAGUAGGCAUGAAAUUCAGACUCAUAUCUGGACUAAAGUAUGCUAGCAGUUUCUAUAUUUUCAUACCACAUAUUGGGAGAAGAAACAAAAAGGCCAGGUAGACUUUAGUCUGACAGCAAUAUCCCCUUCUUUGCCGGGUGGUAGGAUAUCCCCUUUUUCAUCUAUAACCUAGAAGGAAACAAUUUAGAUUCUUAAACUUUCCACAAAAUAAAAAUGGGUUGUGAAUAGUUGCAUAAUAAAUUGCAGAAAGCUAGGCCGGGGAUUUAGCUCAGUGGCACCGCAUCUGCCUUGCAAGCGCAAGGUCCUGAGUUCAAUCCCUGAUACAAAAAAAAAAAAAUUGCCGAAAGCUGUAAAACGCACCCCUCCCCAUUCUUUUUUGGCACUGGGUAUUUCACCCAGGGCCUUCAUACUGAGCUACAUCUCCAGCCUCUUUCAUUUUUUAUUUCAAGACAGGGUCUCACCAAGUUACACAAGCUGGGCUUGAACUUGGAAUCCUCUUGCUUCGGCCUCCCAGAGUGCUGGGACUGCGGGCAUGUGCCACCACACCCACUUCUCCCUUCUUUAUUGAAACCACUCAGAUAUUUUCUUAACCCACCUGGACAUCAUAGGGUAACAUUCCUUUCCCCAUAGAGCCAGGUUUAAUUUCUUGUCCUUUCUGGUUGGCACAAAUUACUCCCUGUUGAGAAGACAUGUAUGUAAGUAUGUAAAAAUUCAUUUUUUGAAGCUAAUUAUAUCAUGAGAAUGAAAUUUAAGAUUUGUUCUUGACUGAGUUUCCCAGGAUGUGAGCUCAUCUCAAACAUUUUAAAGCAGUAGUUCUCUAACUUGGCCUGCAUCAGAAUCACCUAUUAAAACACAGAUUUCUAGACCUCAUCCCAGAGUUUUUUUAUCCACUAGGUGUGGAGUGAGAUCUGAGAACUUGCAUUUCCACCAAAUUCCCAGAUGAUUCUGAUACAGCUGGUGUGAGGACCACAGUUUGAAAAGCACUCCUUUUAGACUAUCAUGUGCACUGGGGAAUUGAUCCCCUGCAGAGGCACCCAGGUGUCCUCCCCAGUGCAGUGGAAAGUUGUGCAGUUCAGUUCUGAAUCUCACCAACUCCUAAUACUCCUGAGAUUUCUCCUGGGUGAGGAGGAAGUGGGAAGGCUAUGGAGUAAUCACAAUUCCCCUUCAGCCAAACCACAUUGUGCAAUCCACAGGUUUUGGGGUUUUUGUUUUUUAUCAGAGUCUCUCUGUGUAGUUUAGGAGCUCACUAUGAACUCACUAUGUCCUUGAGCUCACUGUGUAGCCCAGGCUGGCCUUGAACUUGCAGUGAUCCUCCUGCCUCCCAAGUGAUAGGACUACAGGUGUGUGCCACCACAUGUGGCAUAAUCCACAAGUUUUGAUAAGCACCGACAAGGUAAGGUGUUCUAUGAGACUCCAUAAAAAUUUAUAACAUGAUGGGGGACACUUUAGGGGCUUCCUUGACAAUCCCGGGGCUGAAAGGCCCCAGUACACAGAUAGGAGCUCCUAUCUGUAGGUUCUGCAUCCUUGGAUUCAACCAACUGAAGAUCAGAAAUAUACAGAAAAAAAUUGUUAUCUGUACUGAACAAGUACAGGCAUUUUUUUCUUGUCAUCAUUUCUAAACACCAUGGUGCAACAACUAUUUGGCUAGCGUUUACAUUGUAUUAGGUAAUAGAAAUAAUCUAGAGAUGCUUUGAAGUUAUAGGUCGAUAUGCAUAGGCUAUCUGCAAAUACCAUGAUAUUUUAUGUAAGGGACUUGAGCAUCCAAGGAUUAGAGUAUCAGAACCGAUCUCCCUCAUAUCCCGAGGGACAGUUCUGCUAGCCCUCAACUUUGCCCUUUAAAUGUACCACUUCUGUCUGUCCGUAGCCCUCAUACAGCUCCAGCCCUGUCUGCGCCUUCCACUGUUCCAGCACCUCUGGGUUGAGUGGCUCCCCUCCAGUCAAGCAGUGCCUCAGCUUCUUGAAUUUAUAUCUGGAGAGAAAAGAGUUGUGUGUGGUCUUUGGAGGGCAUACCCAAUGCCAAGGCUGCUCUGAGAGUGCAGAGCCAUCUUAGGGAAGCCUGUGGUCCCACUGGUGAAAUAAAUAGCCAUCGGUUCUUGACUUCCUGUCUCCACACAGCUGUGCUCUUCAGAGGCAGAUCUGCAAAAUACAGGCCCCAAGACGGUGACUAAAGAUGCCAGACCAGUUUAACUGUGUGGGUUCAGGAAGUCAUCAUCAAUGAGAUGUGAGACCUUCACGGGAAAUAGUUCUCUGUUCUAAAAAGAGUACUGAAGAAAGGGUCUGCUUUCUCCCCCUAUCCAGCCUGUACGGCCUUUGAGUACUGUGCAAGUAAUUAUUUUCUGGGAAGAAGCCCAGAUUAGCUCACAGUGUUGCUGAGUCUUUGACGGCAAGGAGGCUCUGAGAUGAAGCUGUGAUUUGUUGCUGGUGCUGCGUAUGAGCUGGGGAAAACACUCACUGAAAUAACUCCUGGAAGCUGAGCCAACCGUUCCAGCUGUGUGGAGAUACCAGGACUUUGAUCUUCAGGUUGGGACACUCGGAUACGAUGGACUCCACCGCCAGGGCCACCUCCUCACUGACCACAAUGCACUUGGCAUUGGACGCUUGCAGCCGGUAGAGGAUGUCUUUGGUCGUCAGCUGGGUUGUUCCCGGAAUGAAGACAAGCCCUGGGAAGGACAGAGGGUCCUGAGCUAGCAGAACUGUUGUCCAUUAGGUGUGAUGACUCUGUGGACAGUGGAGAAUAUGGGCUGUGUGCCUGCAGAGACGGACCCUGAGAAUACUACCUUCAGCGACUCCUGCCUUGGUCCCCGGGAACAUCCUGCAGGACCUCGGUCCCUGGCUUUGGAGUCUGACAGACCCUGGGUCUAAUCCUGGCCCGCAGUUUACCAGCUUUCUGACUUUGAUCUCUCUGUACUUUCUUUCCUUUAUCUGUAAAAUGGGGUAAUGAUAGGGUCUAGCAUAUAGGAGGCUGUUAUUAUGUAACAUUUUAAUAUGAUGUUACUAUCAUUAUUAUGUAACACUUAAAUAGCACUUGACAUCUUCUAUCACAUUUUUAUGAAUACUAUCUCAUCAAUUCUCUGAAGCAGUAGUGUCCAAAGUGAGUUUUGCAAGACAGUCCAUUGGGAAUGAGAAAAGAGAAUAAUAUAAUUUUUGAAAAUUAUUGAGAUACUAGAAUUCUUUUUAUAUUUUAAUCUCCUUUUUAUAUAUGUUUAUAAUAUGAAUACCAUAUUAGUACAGUAGAAUAGUAUAAAAACCUAUGCCAGAUAGGAAGAUUUGUGUCCUAGACAUUUUUAUUGAUGGACUAUAUGGGUUAUACCGUUGCCUGGCAACUACUGUUCUAAGCAUUCCCAGUAGAUCCACGCCGCUGUUGCCAUUUGGUGGGGUUGAGAUUUGUUCAUAGCUGGUGACUGGCACAGCCAGCCCUCAGAUCUCUGGAUCCCAGUGGUCUGGCAUCAUUGACGUUUACCUAGACUGCUAUGACAAUGCUCAACUUAUCCCUCUUCCUCACUUCAUCCUAAACACUCAUUGAUUUCAAUUCCUCAUGAAAAGAACAAACAUGGCAGAACAGGAUGUAAGACAGAGAGAAGGUAGUUUUCACUUUCUCAACUGAAUCCCUGGAAAGGAAAUGGCAUAUAAAGCAUUACAGGUAGCCACUACCUUUCAUGUCUGUGUGUGGUACUGUCUGUGAACCUAUGCCCUUUGCACUGAGCUACAUUCCCCAGCCUUCUUUAAUUUUUCUCUUAUUUUUUAUUUUGAGACAGGGUCCUAUUAAGUUAGUUGUCCAGGCUAGGCUUGAACUUGUAAUUCUCCUGCAUCAGCCUCCCAGAGUGCUGUGAUUACAGGUGUAUACUACAUGCCUGACUAGCCACUACCAUUUAUUGAGUACCUACUAUGUGCCUGGUUAUCUCUUCACUUAAAAUUAAUUCUAGUGUAUGAUAACCUCACCCAAGACUGCAAAGCCAGUAAGUGACAGAGCCAGGAUUCAGAGAUCUAUUUCCCAGACCCCAAGACUUGUGCUAUACUCUAGACUACUUAAUUUCUUGUUGAGUUCCCUUCAGUAGCUAAAUACCAAGAUAUGGAGUUGAAUUCGUAGGAAGACUUUAUUUUUAUUGAAUAUAUUUUAAAAGCUCUUAGAUGUCAUCCCCUCUAAAAAAUGAAUAAAUAUAUGAAGAUAAAGAAGUUCAGGGGCCGGGGAUUUGGCUCAGUGGUGCUGCCGCCUGCCUCGCAAGCACAAGGUCCCGAGUAAUAUCCCCAGUACCAAAAAAAAAAAAAUUCCGUAAGAAAACACCCCAGAGUAGUGAUGGCAAACCUUUUAGAGCUUUCAGUGAUACAGCCUGCUGUGGCACGUGUGCUGUAGGUUCGCCACUUCUGCCCUAGAGGGUCUCAGAAUGUUCACUUGAUGUAAAAAUAUAAGAUUAUUAAUUUUAUGAGCCACUUGUUCUUAAUGAUUCACAAAUAAUUAGUCCUGUUGGUGGAUUUGGGAUAUGAAAUGUGUUCAACAGAUAAAUCUCCAGCUUGAGGAGGGUAGAGUUCUUCUAGAGGAUUUCAGAGAGCAAAUAUUUCCAGAUAGCAAAUAUCUUAGGUUUUAUUGCAUACACUCUACAUCAAAAACAAACUAUUUUGCCAUGUUUCGUAGUACAAGUCAUCCUAAUCUGCAUGGAGAAGAUUUAAUAAUUCUGAGAAAACAAAAUACUCAGCUGCUUCCUUUACUUAAUUGAAUAUUUUGAGUUUGUGUGUUUUUCAUUGGCAUUUUGUAAUUUUCACUAGUUAUAUUAAGUAUAUUAAAUAUAUACUUUGGCAAAUAAAACACCCAUAAUCUUCUCCCAGCAUACAAUUGGCUUUAUAUUUGCAACUUCUUUUUAUACUGAAUGCAAGAAUUUUAUACAUUGUUGCUUUUAUUAUAUCAGCAUAAAGAACAUUUUUAAUACUAUUAUGAAGUCAUUAUAUUAUCCUUACUAUAAUUUAUCCUUAAGUACCAUCAAGUUGAGGUACCAGAGUUUUGAUCAGCAAGUAAACAUUGCCAGGCAUGGUGGCACACACCUGUAACUCCAGCACUUGGGAGGCUGAGGCAGGAAGAUCACUGCGAGUCGAGGCCAGCCUGGGCUACAUAGUGAGUUCAAGGCCAGCCUGAACUAUGUAAUGAAACCUUGCCUCAAAACAAACAAAAAAACAAAAACAAACUAAAAUAAACGCACCUUAACUAAACUUACAUCUUAACUGUUAUAAUUUAUUCAAUCAUUUCUAUUUAAAUCUUUGUUCAGUUUUUUACUAUCAUUAGUGAUAUUGCAACAAACAUCCUUAUGUUCUCUAUAAUAACUGAUCCUUUGGUAUUCUUAUUUAUUUUUAUUGAUUUAUAAUAAUUUGAGUUUUAGAGCAGAGAUUGGCAAAGGUUUUUGGUAAAGAACCAGACAGUGAAUAUUUUGGGUCACAUAGUCAAUCUUGGACUCACUUAGCAUUUCCGCUAUUAUAGAACAAAAGAAGCCAUAGAUAGUAUUUAAAGAAUGAGCAUAGCUAUAUUCCAUCAAAACUCUGUCUAUAAAACCCCAUAGGCGCUGGUUUACUGACCCCUGCCCUAAAGGAGAAAUUUGUUUUUAAAGUACCUUACAUUACUCUUUUGGGAGAAAAUGUGUAAUUAAUAUAUUAAUUUUUUUCUACCAUACUGGGGAUUGAAACCAGGGCCUUCACAUCCCUAGCCCUUCUUUCAUUUUUUAAUUUUGAGAUAGGCUCUAAGUUGCCCAGGCUGGACUUGAACUUGGGAUCCUCUUGCCUCAGCCUUCCAGAGUGCUGCAAAGAAGCGUUGGUACCCACAUUUGCUUUUAUGGAGCUUUGUGUUUAAUCCUAAUUGUGUAGCUUCCUAGUUGUUUGACUUUUGGCAAACUUCGUGAUCUCUCUUCUUGGUUUCCCUGCCUAUAAAAUGGUUAUCACAAUAAUACUGAGUUCUUGAGACAGUAAUUAUUAUUACAUCAUGAUUGCUCUUAACUUCAACUCUUCUUUUCCUUUCCUUGUAAGCACAGCUUUAUUAAAAGCUAACAUUUCAGAGA